rnacentral:rRNA from 1 species
AUUGCCCCAGUAACGGCGAGUGAAGCGGCAACAGCUCAAAUUUGAAAUCUGGCUCUCGGGCCCGAGUUGUAAUUUGUAGAGGAUGCUUUUGGUGAGGUGCCUUCCGAGUUCCCUGGAACGGGACGCCAUAGAGGGUGAGAGCCCCGUCUGGUUGGACACCGAUCCUCUGUAAAGCUCCUUCGACGAGUCGAGUAGUUUGGGAAUGCUGCUCUAAAUGGGAGGUAUAUGUCUUCUAAAGCUAAAUACCGGCCAGAGACCGAUAGCGCACAAGUAGAGUGAUCGAAAGAUGAAAAGAACUUUGAAAAGAGAGUUAAAAAGUACGUGAAAUUGUUGAAAGGGAAGCGCUUGUGACCAGACUUGGGCUUGGUUGAUCAUCCGGGGUUCUCCCCGGUGCACUCUUCCGGCUCAGGCCAGCAUCAGUUCGCCCUGGGGGAUAAAGGCUUCGGGAAUGUGGCUCUCUCCGGGGAGUGUUA